UUGGGCCUACGGGAGGCAGCAGUGGGGAUUCUUGCACAAUGGGCGAAAGCCUGAUGCAGCAACGCCGCGUGAGCGAAAAAGGCCUUUGGGUCGUAAAGCUCUGUCCUAAGGGAAGAAGGAAGUGACGGUACCUUAGGAGGAAGCCCCGGCUAACUACGUGCCAGCAGCCGCGGUAAUACGUAGGGGGCAAGCGUUAUCCGGAAUUAUUGGGCGUAAAGAGUACGUAGGCGGUUCUUUAAGCGUAGGGUCUAAGGCGAUGGCUUAACCAUCGUUCGCCCUUUGAACUGGAGGACUUGGGGAUCGGG
rnacentral:rRNA from 1 species